rnacentral:rRNA from 1 species
GACGAACGCUGGCGGCGUGCCUAAUACAUGCAAGUAGAACGCACAGUUUAUACCGUAGCUUGCUACACCAUAGACUGUGAGUUGCGAACGGGUGAGUAACGCGUAGGUAACCUGCCUGGUAGCGGGGGAUAACUAUUGGAAACGAUAGCUAAUACCGCAUAAUAUUAAUUAUUGCAUGAUAAUUGAUUGAAAGAUGCAACUGCAUCACUACCAGAUGGACCUGCGUUGUAUUAGCUAGUAGGUGAGGUAACGGCUCACCUAGGCGACGAUACAUAGCCGACCUGAGAGGGUGAUCGGCCACACUGGGACUGCGACACGGCCCAGACUCCUACGGGAGGCAGCAGUAGGGAAUCUUCGGCAAUGGACGAAAGUCUGACCGAGCAACGCCGCGUGAGUGAAGAAGGUUUUCGGAUCGUAAAGCUCUGUUGUAAGAGAAGAACGGGUGUGAGAGUGGAAAGUUCACACUGUGACGGUAUCUUACCAGAAAGGGACGGCUAACUACGUG